AGCUCCAAUAGCGUAUAUUAAAGUUGUUGCAGUUAAAAAGCUCGUAGUUGGAUUUCUGGCAGGAGUGACCGACCACACACACUGUGUGUGAGUUGCGUCAUUCUGGCCAUCCUUGGUGAGAUCCUAUUUGGCAUUAAGUUGUUGGGUAGGGGAUAACCAUCGUUUACUGUGAAAAAAUUAGAGUGUUUAAAGCAGGCUUAUGCCGUUGAAUAUAUUAGCAUGGAAUAAUAAGAUAGGACUUUGAGUCUAUUUUGUUGGUUUGCGAGUCAAAGUAAUGAUUAAUAGGGACAGUUGGGGGUAUUCGUAUUUCAUUGUCAGAGGUGAAAUUCUUGGAUUUCUGAAAGACGAACUACUGCGAAAGCAUUUACCAAGGAUGUUU
rnacentral:rRNA from 1 species